rnacentral:rRNA from 1 species
GACGAACGCUGGCGGCGUGCCUAAUACAUGCAAGUAGAACGCUGAAGGAGGAGCUUGCUUCUCUGGAUGAGUUGCGAACGGGUGAGUAACGCGUAGGUAACCUGCCUGGUAGCGGGGGACAACUAUUGGAAACGAUAGCUAAUACCGCAUAAUAGUAGAUGUUGCAUGACAUUUGCUUAAAAGGUGCAAUUGCAUCACUACCAGAUGGACCUGCGUUGUAUUAGCUAGUUGGUGGGGUAACGGCUCACCAAGGCGACGAUACAUAGGCGACCUGAGAGGGUGAUCGGCCACACUGGGACUGGGACACGGCCCAGACUCCUACGGGAGGCAGCAGUAGGGAAUCUUCGGCAAUGGACGGAAGGCUGACCGAGGAACGCCGCGGGAGGGGAGGAGGUUUUCGGAUCGUAAAGCUCUGUUGUAAGAGAAGAACGAGUGUGAGAGUGGAAAGUUCACACUGUGACGGUAUCUUACCAGAAAGGGACGGCUAACUACGUG